rnacentral:rRNA from 1 species
AUCCUGGCUCAGGAUGAACGCUGGCGGCGUGCCUUAUACAUGCAAGUCGAGCGGAUGGAUUAAGAGCUUGCUCUUAUGAAGUUAGCGGCGGACGGGUGAGUAACACGUGGGUAACCUACCCAUAAGACUGGGAUAACUCCGGGAAACCGGGGCUAAUACCGGAUAAUAUUUUGAACUGCAUAGUUCGAAAUUGAAAGGCGGCUUCGGCUGUCACUUAUGGAUGGACCCGCGUCGCAUUAGCUAGUUGGUGAGGUAACGGCUCACCAAGGCGACGAUGCGUAGCCGACCUGAGAGGGUGAUCGGCCACACUGGGACUGAGACACGG